rnacentral:rRNA from 1 species
AUUGAACGCUGGCGGCAGGCCUAACACAUGCAAGUCGAACGGUAACAGGAAGAAGCUUGCUUCUUUGCUGACGAGUGGCGGACGGGUGAGUAAUGUCUGGGAAACUGCCUGAUGGAGGGGGAUAACUACUGGAAACGGUAGCUAAUACCGCAUAACGUCGCAAGCCCAAAAAGGGGGACCUUCGGGCCUCUUGCCAUCGGAUGUGCCCAGAUGGGAUUAGCUAGUAGGUGGGGUAACGGCUCACCUAGGCGACGAUCCCUAGCUGGUCUGAGAGGAUGACCAGCGACACUGGAACUGAGACACGGUCCAGACUCCUACGGGAGGCAGCAGUGGGGAAUAUUGCACAAUGGGCGCAAGCCUGAUGCAGCCAGGCCGCGUGUAUGAAGAAGGCCUUCGGGUUGUAAAGUACUUUCAGCGGGGAGGAAGGGAGUAAAGUUAAUACCUUUGCUCAUUGACGGUACCCGCAGAAGAAGCACCGGCUAACUCCGUG